rnacentral:tRNA from 1 species
GGAGAGGUGGCCGAGCGGUCGAAGGCGCGCCCCUGCUAAGGGCGUAUAUGCACAAAACGCGUAUCGAGGGUUCGAAUCCCUCCCUCUCCG